CCAGCGGGCUGUCCAUCACUAAGUGUAAACAAGGCGCUGAUUGGCUGUUAUCCAGUCCGCACCAGGCCUCCUGAAAAAAGCAAUUACUGGCUCCGCGGUUUCAAGGCUGCCCAAGGCCGCUUGAUGAAAGGAGAUAAACCGGGGACGGUUUCCAGGAUCCCCGCGGGCCGACCCAGGCAGCUCCCGAGCCGAGGCCGCCGGACGGGGCACACGAGCCUGACUGCGGGGUGGAGACGCGAGGCCAGCCGGCGAUUGCGCCCUCCCCAGCGCGGCGAUCGCUGCGCGCCGGGGCGCACGAGCUGUGGUGAGGCGCAUCUCCUGCAGAUCCAGUACGCGAUUGAAUCAGGCCAUCCUGUGCGGGAUGGGCGCGGAUUCCGGCUCCCGGUGGCUCGGUGGUGACCCGACGGCGAACGCCGGCUGGGCUUGGCCUGAGGUGAGCUCCGUUGUUCUGGUCCCUCCAGCGGCGGGCAGCCGUUUCCCGCUUCGCACGCACGGAGAGGAGCUUCCCGGCUCGGGAGAAACCGCUGCUGGCCACGGGAGACCCCGGGACGCGAGCGCCCCUGUUCUCGGUUGGUGUAAGCAUCCCUUGCAAGCCGCAGAUUUUCUGAGUGCGUAGAAUUCAAGUUCCUCGCUAUUUUCUUUCAUUGACUUUGUUUACCGAUCCAGGAAUCUUUAUAUCUAUCUCCCCGUUUAAAGUAUUCUCCCUUACCCUAUCCGUUCCUUCAAAAAGGAAAAGAAAAAAGGAAAAGAAUUUUAAAGAGAGAGAGAGACAAAAAUAAUUCGAUGUACAAGGACACUGCGUGGCAAUCCCCCGAGCUGCUGCAACCUCGAGGGGACCCGGGAGGCCGUUGUGGGGGAGGGGUGCGCCUAGACAGCUCCGCACCCACUCUUUCAUUUUGCGUAACCCGGGUCCUCUUAGGCUGGACCGGGAAGAUCUCAAAGUGUGGGAUCUAUCCCUCCUGGGCGGGUGGAGACAGUCAGAAGGGCACACCGGUAAUCCAUCCGCACUCAGGCCUGCUGCUAGACACGAGAACGCGAGGUUUCUUUCCUCCUCAAGCCGGUUUAGAAUCUUGGGGAUCAGCACCGCCGGAUCCCUAAAAGCUGGGCAUGAGGAUUUGUCUCCAACCCCGCCAUGUUCUGUGUCCACCCCCACCCCGUUCUGUGUCGUCUCACAUCCCCAAGAGGCUCCCAGAGUGUGAAAGGCCUCGGCUCCUUGCUGUCUCGCUCCCACCUCUGCGUCCUCUCUAACCUCAGCAUUCACUUAAGUCUAGUGGCCUUUUUCCUCCUUCGCUCAGUACUGUUUCAAAAUAGUUGUUACAGCAAAUAGCUGCCGACGCGCCUCUGGAUGCCGCCAGAGGCUGGCAGCUGCCCAGCGCGGGCGCACAGCCCCCGGCAGUUCCACAAGACCAAAAUAAGCUCCCGUGUUCCUCUCACAGGGCUCGGCCUCCCGGGCGGGCCCGGGCAUGUCUGGCUGGGCUCGCUAUCUGCUCGGAGCAAACCAUCCUGGUUUCCUCCUUGACUUCCUGCUAUCCAAAACUAACAAAUGUUUUUCAUUUUAGAAGAACAUGGCGUGAGGAUCAGGGUCCUUUCUAGAGCAGUGCUUCUCGCCCUUCCGAGUGCUGCGACCCUUUAAUACAGUUCCUCAUGUUGUAGUGACCCACAACCAUAAAACUAUUUUCGUUGCUACUUCAUAACUGCAGUAUUGCUACCGUUAUGAAUUGUAAUGUAAAUAUUUUUGGAGACACAGGUUUGCCAAAGGGGUCAUGACCCUUUAGGUGGGGAACUGCAGGAUCUAGAGGGAAAGGGGGGGGGUGUUAAAAAGAGUAGAGGAGACAGGACUAUAAGCCAUAGGUCAGUCUUUGCACUGGCGUCUCUGCUGCCACCUGAAGUUUUAAAAAAUUGUAUGUUAUUAACGCUGCAACCACAGACACCCAAUCGCUAGCCCAGGGCACAAUGGCCUAUGGAUGCACCGGCCACCUCCACAGCCUGUCGCAUGCCCUACAUAGGCAGCUGUGCUGCUCAUACAUCAGACUUCAUCAGGCAAUAGCGUGUGUGCCCAUGAACAUUUGUGCAGUUUUGAACAUGUGAUCUGUCUACAUGCUCGUUCUGUGGGGUCACACAGCAUCCAUGUGUGUGUGAGCCUCACGUCACACCCAUCACCUGCCUUAGAUCUUGUGAUCUCUUGGUACCCCUGUGGUAGGAGAAGGGAACUGACUCUCUGGAACAGGCAGGCCAGGCAAUGCAGCACGCAGGCAGGCACACAUAAAAAUAAAUAAAUGUAAUUUAAAAAGACAGUUUGAAUCUCACAACACACCGACACACGUCACACACGUACAAGCACUCUCAAUUACAACUGACUAACCGGUAGUCAGAGCAGCCCAUUACCCACAAACCCUGGUACCUCCUCCAGCAUUCCCCCACUGCCCUUACAAGGCAGGAGACUGGAAGCAGGCCUAGGCCUCCCAGCUCCCAAAUGACAGAGAGCCUACUGUGUGAACUCAUUGAAUAAAUAAUCACUUUUUAAUACAAGGGGGUGGGGGUGUAUCUCGAGUUACAUAAAAUUGAAAAUGCCUGCUUGGGCCAGAGAACAGCGGCAGAGCCGCCACUGCUCUGCGGGGUAAUUGUGUGUUGGGUGUCUCUCCAUUGUUCCCUGGGCCAUUAGUCAGAGGGCAAAUUAGAAACAAUUUCUUGACGACAAAAAAAUUGACUCUUAAUUCUUCCUACCAGAAGUGAAAGGGCCAAGUCCAGAGGCCAGGCCCAAGGCUGGAGCCUGAGAGCUGCAGCUUUGGGUCUGGAGGGGCAAGGAACCCGGAGGGAGAGGGUUUGCACGAGGACAGUACAGUAGCUUGCAGGUUGGAGCCAAGCUGGGGAAGGUUGGGACAGGAGGGCCUGGGUAGGGGCUGACACUCCUCCCAUCAGAGAGCCGACAGUGGGAUUGCAACCACAGUCUAGAAUCAGGAUUUGAAGGGAUAGUUGGGGCAUACACACACACACACACACACCCUUCUCAAAGUGGUACAAUUCAAAAGCCGCCCCAUGGCACUGGUUGGAAGAGGAGGUCUCAGAUCCUUGCUCCUUCCCUGAGGUUUCUCAACCACAUCAGGGUCUUCCUAGCAGCCCUAUUGAGGCCCAAAAAAGAGUACCGUAGAGAAGGGUCUUAGUGUGGCCAAGUCCUCAGUUCUGUCCCCAGAUACACGUGUAUUCCCCAGAGGUACCGGCUUGGUGCUCUGUGCCUGGGAGUGAGAGAAGAGAAUGGGGGUGCCCAUCGCAAGGUAAAAGGGCUUCUCCCCCCAAGAAAGGAACUUUCAAACAGAGCCCAUCUAUUUAGCCAGGCACAGAGGUAAAGGGGGCGGGAGGUGUUGCACUGAUCUGUGGGCUCCUGCCCCCUCCCAACUGGAGGCUGGGCUGAGGCCCAGGUAAGGGGCAAAAACACAGAAGCAGGAAAGGAAGAACUGCAGGAUCCCAGCUUGCUAAGAGUCCUCUCUUCUACACACACCUCUGGAGGCCUGGCUGUGCCCCUAGCCAACAUCCUCCCCAAGGCAUUCCCUGACUCCGCUCCAAACCAAGCCUGGAGCUUUGCUAAAUUGAAGCUGGCUCAAGCCGGAGGGACCCCUGUGGGAGGCACAGGUUUUCCCUUCAAGGCCGCAUAGACAGACAGACCUGCUUCUAAGUUUUAAAAAGCAAGGAGAGAAGCCCCAGACCACUUUGAAGUCGGAUAAACAGCUUCCCCAGCCACCACGGCAGCUUCCUCCCAGGGAGGUUUAAAUUCUGUUGUUGCUGAUUUUCUCCAACCAGGUCAGGAGGCUGCCCAGCCCCCUCCCUGCGCUGGAAAGGUGCUUGUUAAACACAGUCGUAAUUUGUGGCUAAAUAUAACCCAGUGUGUUCACACGGAAAGCAUAAUUCAGAGGGCUCGUUGCAUGAGGUUAUCAGUGAGGAGACCCAUCUGGGGUAAAUUAAAGUGAUUUUCAUAAAGGGCAGAAGCAUCCAUUGCCAGGCUUCUCCGGGCCCUUUUACCAGUGAUAGUGCAACAUUCCUACUAAAGGGGAUCAGGGAAGGCAGAAGACGCCCCGUACCCCAGAGCUGAAGAAGCAGCUUCCUGGGCCUGAGCUCCAUCCAGCCUCCUAGGCCUCUCUUCAUCUAAGGCUAGAUGUGGCUUCUGUUAAGCCUGGGAAGGCUCUGGAGGCACGGGGUUGUCUUUGGAGGCCUGGGAGGAUAGCUUUGGGGGUCUGCCUAAAGAAGGAGGGAUUGGUUUUCCUGUUGGGCUGAUCCAGCUUGCCCUCAGUCGUGGCAGGGUGGAAGUACCCUCUACUCGCCCACCCCCACCACCCAUGACUGUAGGAGCCCAGGGAAAGUGUAAACAAUCAGCCUCUCGUGGCCGGGUGGCUGAAGAAGGGACCCUGCUUUGGAACAAGUACCCAGUCAGUUUGUGCGUGUGUGUUCCUUCCAGGUAGAUCCACAAAGUAGAGAUGGCAUCAAACCCACAGGAACACCUGCUUCCAUCUCUGGCUAUACCCAGCCUAGCCUGGCUUUGCGGGAAGUACAGCUACUGUAGGCUUACAGAUCUCAACUGUGCGAAUGUGUUCGCACAGGUCAGACGGCAGGGUAUGUCUGCACGGAGUCUCUGGAGCCAGAUUUCUGCUGCGUGGUCUCACAGUGGCGGGUAAACCCAAGCUUCUUCCAGUCCCUAGGAAAGACAUACAGGCUGGGUGUCAGGGAUUCCUUUGACCUAGCUUUGCUGACCUCUAGGCCCAGCCAGGGUUUGCAGGAUCCACAGCCAUUGUUUCUUCCAAGCCCCCCAUACUGGGAGAAACCAGCUUUGGCCUGACUUCCGCCUCCACCAUUUCUGCCCCACUGAGGGUUCCUAGUCAGGAAAACCCUGCAACCACAGGACACACCUGUCUGUUCUGCAGCUCUGCCUUCUUCCACACCCAGCCGAAGAUUCCCUUCCUGGAAGGAAACCAGUAGGCAACACAAACACUUAUGCACCUUCUCCCUAAUUUCUGGGGAGAAUUGAGCCCUUGGUCUGGUUACCUGUAAUGUUUAUUAACCAAAUAAAAUGUCUCUCAGAGUUCUCACUGA